UACAUAGGUCCCAAGCGUUGUUCGGAUUCACUGGGCGUAAAGGGUGCGUAGGCGGUCGGGUAAGUCUGAUGUGAAAUCUCACAGCUUAACUGUGAAACUGCAUUGGAUACUAUUCGGCUUGAGAGUUGGAGGGGGGACUGGAAUUCUUGGUGUAGCAGUGAAAUGCGUAGAUAUCAAGAGGAGCACCAGUGGCGAAGGCGAGUCCCUGGACAACUUCUGACGCUGAGGCACGAAAGCUAGGGGAGCAAACAGG
rnacentral:rRNA from 1 species